AAUACUUUAAAAACAUUCUAGACAAAUCAUCUUGUACAGAAAGACUCAAGAAUAGUAAGGAAUUGAGCAGAGACAAUGGGAGUCCUUUGAAGGCCAAGAUAAAUGAUUGGGCCUUUUCCUUAAGGCACUUGGAAGUCAUGGGUUUUUUUAAAGUAAUGUCAAAUAAUGACAUUCAGAUUCCACUUCAGGGAAAAAAGCAGCAGCAUGUUGACCAUUGUAGGAACCCUGGGAAUUAAGUAGAGAAGACAGACCAUUGUUUUUCCUAAGAACAGACUGGGAAACUGGUGUUUGUAUUGAGACAAUAAGGAUUGAGUGAAUUCAUGCCAGAUUAUGCAUAUCAUUCAAAUCCUUGAAUAUCUGUGCUGUGAAGCAAGCAAGUUAUGUACCAGACUCUAACAUGCAAAAAUGUUUGCGAUACAACCCUUCUUCACAGUUUACUGAAAAUCAUAAGGAAGCCCUGCAGAAAUGAAGUAAAUCAUCCCACAGUACCAAAUUUCACAGGUUUUUGUCAAAUUCUUUUAAACCAGAAAGAAAAAAAAAACCAAAAGGUGUUACAGUUAGAUGAACCAGAAAGAAAAAAAAAAAAACAAAAGGUAUUACAGUUAGAUGAUUUUGGAUUCUUUCAUUAAUUGUAAUCCAAAUGCGAAUAAAACUAGCUUAGGAUGUCCUGGACAGUUACCAAAGGGUGUUGAUACUGUCAAAAUACUCUUGACUGUCCUGCUUUUGGAUUCUGCCGCAAGUCUGUUUCUGCAAGAAUUUUACGUACUGCCAAGAUGAAGAAAUAACACCCCUCCGCGGACUUAGCCAACUUGUAGGGAUGUGCGGAGGCAGUCAGGACACAGGACGCAGUCAGUGACAGCUGAGAAUUGGUAGAUCUCAUCUGGAAAAAUAAACAUGCCAGUAAACUUA